GGGACUAUGGUCUAGUGGUACGAUUCCCGCUUUGGGUGCGGGAGGCCCCGGGUUCGAACCCCGGUAGUCCCC